AUACAUGCAAGUCGAGCGGACAGAUGGGAGCUUGCUCCCUGAUGUUAGCGGCGGACGGGUGAGUAACACGUGGGUAACCUGCCUGUAAGACUGGGAUAACUCCGGGAAACCGGGGCUAAUACCGGAUGCUUGUUUGAACCGCAUGGUUCAAACAUAAAAGGUGGCUUCGGCUACCACUUACAGAUGGACCCGCGGCGCAUUAGCUAGUUGGUGAGGUAAUGGCUCACCAAGGCGACGAUGCGUAGCCGACCUGAGAGGGUGAUCGGCCACACUGGGACUGAGACACGGCCCAGACUCAUACGGGAGGCAGCAGUAGGGAAUCUUCCGCAAUGGACGAAAGUCUGACGGAGCAACGCCGCGUGAGUGAUGAAGGUUUUCGGAUCGUAAAGCUCUGUUGUUAGGGAAGAACAAGUACCGUUCGAAUAGGGCGGUACCUUGACGGUACCUAACCAGAAAGCCACGGCUAACUACGUGCCAGCAGCCGCGGUAAUACGUAGGUGGCAAGCGUUGUCCGGAAUUAUUGGGCGUAAAGGGCUCGCAGGCUGUUUCUUAAGUCUGAUGUGAAAGCCCCCCGGCUCAACCGGGGAGGGUCAUUGGAAACUGGGGAACUUGAGUGCAGAAGAGGAGAGUGUAAUUCCACGUGUAGCGGUGAAAUGCGUAGAGAUGUGGAGGAACACCAGUGGCGAAGGCGACUCUCUGGUCUGUAACUGACGCUGAGGAGCGAAAGCGUGGGGAGCGAACAGGAUUAGAUACCCUGGUAGUCCACGCCGUAAACGAUGAGUGCUAAGUGUUAGGGGGUUUCCGCCCCUUAGUGCUGCAGCUAACGCAUUAAGCACUCCGCCUGGGGAGUACGGUCGCAAGACUGAAACUCAAAGGAAUUGACGGGGGCCCGCACAAGCGGUGGAGCAUGUGGUUUAAUUCGAAGCAACGCGAAGAACCUUACCAGGUCUUGACAUCCUCUGACAAUCCUAGAGAUAGGACGUCCCCUUCGGGGGCAGAGUGACAGGUGGUGCAUGGUUGUCGUCAGCUCGUGUCGUGAGAUGUUGGGUUAAGUCCCGCAACGAGCGCAACCCUUGAUCUUAGUUGCCAGCAUUCAGUUGGGCACUCUAAGGUGACUGCCGGUGACAAACCGGAGGAAGGUGGGGAUGACGUCAAAUCAUCAUGCCCCUUAUGACCUGGGCUACACACGUGCUACAAUGGACAGAACAAAGGGCAGCGAAACCGCGAGGUUAAGCCAAUCCCACAAAUCUGUUCUCAGUUCGGAUCGCAGUCUGCAACUCGACUGCGUGAAGCUGGAAUCGCUAGUAAUCGCGGAUCAGCAUGCCGCGGUGAAUACGUUCCCGGGCCUUGUACACACCGCCCGUCACACCACGAGAGUUUGUAACACCCGAAGUCGGUGAGGUAACCUUUAGGAGCCAGCC
rnacentral:rRNA from 1 species